CGGGGCGUGGCGCAGCCUGGUAGCGCGCUCGCUUUGGGAGCGAGAAGUCGCCGGUUCGAAUCCGGCCGCCCCGA
rnacentral:tRNA from 2 species